AUUGAACGCUGGCGUCAGGACUAACACAUGCAAGUCGGGCGAGCGGCGGACGGGUGAGUAAUGUAUGGGGAUCUGACUGAUGGUGGGGGAUAAUUAUUUGAAACGGUAGCUCAUACAGAAUACCAUCAGCAGAACCCAUAUGGUAUUUGCUAGUAGGUGAGGUAACGGCUUGCCUCGGCGACGAUCCAUAGCUGGUAUGAGAGGCUGAUCAGCCAGACUGGGAUGGAUACACGGCCCGGACUCCGACGGGAGGCAGACGUGGGUAAUAUUGCACAUGGGGAGCAAGCCUGAUGGAGCCAUGCCGCGGGUAUGAAGAAGGCCUUCGGGUUGUAAAGUACUUUCAGUCGGGAUGCUUUACCGACAGAAGAAGCACCGGCUAACUCCGUGCCAGCAGCCGCGGUAAUAC
rnacentral:rRNA from 1 species